ACCCGCUGAACUUAAGCAUAUCAAUAAGCGGAGGAAAAGAAACCAACAGGGAUUGCCCUAGUAACGGCGAGUGAAGCGGCAACAGCUCAAAUUUGAAAUCUGGCGCAAGCCCGAGUUGUAAUUUGUAGAGGAUGCUUCUAGGUAGCGACCGGUCUAAGUUCCUUGGAACAGGACGUCAUAGAGGGUGAGAAUCCCGUAUGUGACUGGCCCGCACCUUCUACGUAGCUCCUUCGACGAGUCGAGUUGUUUGGGAAUGCAGCUCUAAAUGGGAGGUAAAUUUCUUCUAAAGCUAAAUACCGGCCAGAGACCGAUAGCGCACAAGUAGAGUGAUCGAAAGAUGAAAAGCACUUUGGAAAGAGAGUUAAAAAGCACGUGAAAUUGUUGAAAGGGAAGCGCUCACAACCAGACUUCUAGGCAGUGUUCCGCCGGUCUUUUGACCGGUCUACUCUCUGUCUCGAGGCCAACAUCAUCUGGGACCGCCGGAUAAGACCUUAGGAAUGUAGCUCCCCUCGGGGAGUGUUAUAGCCUCUGGUGAUGCGGCGCGUCUCGGGUGAGGUCCGCGCUUCGGCAAGGAUGUUGGCGUAAUGGUUGUCAGCGGCCCGUCUUGAAACACGGACCAAGGAGUCUAACAUCUAUGCGAGUGUUCGGGCGUCAAACCCCUACGCGUAAUGAAAGUGAACGGAGGUGGGAAGCGUAAGCUGCACCAUCGACCGAUCCUGAUGUCCUCGGAUGGAUUUGAGUAAGAGCAUAGCUGUUGGGACCCGAAAGAUGGUGAACUAUGCCUGAAUAGGGUGAAGCCAGAGGAAACUCUGGUGGAGGCUCGCAGCGGUUCUGACGUGCAAAUCGAUCGUCAAAUUUGGGUAUAGGGGCGAAAGACUAAUCGAACCAUCUAGUAGCUGGUUCCUGCCGAAGUUUCCCUCA
rnacentral:rRNA from 1 species